AAGAGCUUGCUCUUAUGAAGUUAGCGGCGGACGGGUGAGUAACACGUGGGUAACCUGCCCAUAAGACUGGGAUAACUCCGGGAAACCGGGGCUAAUACCGGAUAACAUUUUGAACCGCAUGGUUCGAAAUUGAAAGGCGGCUUCGGCUGUCACUUAUGGAUGGACCCGCGUCGCAUUAGCUAGUUGGUGAGGUAACGGCUCACCAAGGCAACGAUGCGUAGCCGACCUGAGAGGGUGAUCGGCCACACUGGGACUGAGACACGGCCCAGACUCCUACGGGAGGCAGCAGUAGGGAAUCUUCCGCAAUGGACGAAAGUCUGACGGAGCAACGCCGCGUGAGUGAUGAAGGCUUUCGGGUCGUAAAACUCUGUUGUUAGGGAAGAACAAGUGCUAGUUGAAUAAGCUGGCACCUUGACGGUACCUAACCAGAAAGCCACGGCUAACUACGUGCCAGCAGCCGCGGUAAUACGUAGGUGGCAAGCGUUAUCCGGAAUUAUUGGGCGUAAAGCGCGCGCAGGUGGUUUCUUAAGUCUGAUGUGAAAGCCCACGGCUCAACCGUGGAGGGUCAUUGGAAACUGGGAGACUUGAGUGCAGAAGAGGAAAGUGGAAUUCCAUGUGUA
rnacentral:rRNA from 1 species